rnacentral:rRNA from 1 species
GAUGAACGCUGGCGGCGUGCCUAAUACAUGCAAGUCGAGCGAACAGACGAGGAGCUUGCUCCUCUGACGUUAGCGGCGGACGGGUGAGUAACACGUGGAUAACCUACCUAUAAGACUGGGAUAACUUCGGGAAACCGGAGCUAAUACCGGAUAAUAUAUUGAACCGCAUGGUUCAAUGGUGAAAGACGGUUUUGCUGUCACUUAUAGAUGGAUCCGCGCCGCAUUAGCUAGUUGGUAAGGUAACGGCUUACCAAGGCAACGAUGCGUAGCCGACCUGAGAGGGUGAUCGGCCACACGGGAACUGAGACACGGUCCAGACUCCUACGGGAGGCAGCAGUAGGGAAUCUUCCGCAAUGGGCGAAAGCCUGACGGAGCAACGCCGCGUGAGUGAUGAAGGUCUUCGGAUCGUAAAACUCUGUUAUUAGGGAAGAACAAAUGUGUAAGUAACUAUGCACGUCUUGACGGUACCUAAUCAGAAAGCCACGGCUAACUACGUG